rnacentral:rRNA from 1 species
CCUACGGGAGGCAGCAGUGGGGAAUAUUGGGCAAUGGGCGCAAGCCUGACCCAGCAACGCCGCGUGAAGGAAGAAGGCUUUCGGGUUGUAAACUUCUUUUGUCAGGGAAGAGUAGAAGACGGUACCUGACGAAUCAGCCACGGCUAACUACGUGCCAGCAGCCGCGGUAAUACGUAGGUGGCAAGCGUGGUCCGGAUUUACUGGGUGUAAAGGGCGGGUAGCCGGGUUGACAAGUCAGAUGUGAAAUCCUGCGGCUUAACCGCAGAACUGCAUUUGAAACUGUUGAUCUUGAGUACUGGAGAGGCAGAUGGAAUUCCUAGUGUAGCGGUGAAAUGCGUAGAUAUUAGGAGGAACACCAGUGGCGAAGGCGGUCUGCUGGACAGCAACUGACGGUGAGGCGCGAAAGCGUGGGGAGCAAACAGGAUUAGAUACCCCUGUAGUC